AAGCUUUCCAACACUGGAGGAGUUCAUGUGGAAUGUUUACAAAGGGGGAAGGUUGGGCCCAAAGGGAACCGGAAUUUGGCCUACUUCUCUGAGCCAAACACACAUAAACUGGCAAACCUGUGUAUUAGAGCUCUUACAGAUUCAAGCUCAAGCAUUGGAUUUCCUGGCAUCGGUCUUCUGGACCUAGAGAUGGAGGACAAGCAAAGUGCUUGGAUGCUUUCUUUUUGUUUGUUCUGUGCUCUCAGGUAUCUCAGACCUUAACAAUCAAUGUGAGCAGUGAGCUAUAGGACCCAAACAGAGAUCCUUCUUGCCUCCUGCAGUUGCAGUACAGCAUGCAGAGCCACAUAUUUGUGAUGACUGGCACUUCACAAGCAUGUGACUUGCACAAUCUUAUAGAUUGGAUCACAGCU
ensembl:lncRNA